rnacentral:tRNA from 1 species
GGGGCGUUAGCUCAGCCGGUUAGAGCAGCGGACUCAUAAUCCGCCAGUCGCGGGUUCGAGCCCCGCACGCCCCA